CGGCGCCGACGGUCCCUGAAUGUCGCAUCCUGCCUCCGAGGCGCUCGCUCCGGGUCUCCGCAGUUAGCCUGGGACGGAGUCGGGCGCCGUGCGCGGCGGCGGCGGCAGCGCCGAGGCGGGGACGCCGGCGGACGCAAAGAUCCACUAGUGGCAUUCAGGCAGGUUCAGCAGCGCUGGUCUCUCGGCUGCUGAAACAAGGAUCACAAACCUGCAGGAAGUGGAGUUAAGGCUGGGACCUUUCCUGUCCAUGGAGGAAAGAAACUGUGCAUCCUUCCUUCCCAUCCAGCAAGUGCAGGGCACAGGGCUCCUCACCAUCUACAGAACCGGAAGGUUAGCUCUGAGCUAACAUCUGCCACCAAUCCUUCUCUGUUUGCUGAGGAAGAUUG